rnacentral:RNase_P_RNA from 1 species
CGAGUCGGUCGGGCGACCGCGUCGACGGGAACGGGUGCAGUUGUACCGCCGCCUGUCGCCGAGGAAAGUCCGGACUCCACAGAGCAGGGCGGUUGUUAACGGCAACCCGGGGUGACCCGCGGGACAGUGCCACAGAAAACAAACCGCCGGUGGCCUCCUCGGAGACCGCCGGUAAGGGUGAAACGGUGCGGUAAGAGCGCACCAGCGCCCCGGGUGACCGGGGCGGCUAGGUAAACCCCGCCCGGAGCAAGGUCGAAGGUCGCACUCGGUGAGUGCGACUGCGCAGGUGUCCGAGGGCUGCUCGCCCGAGCCUGCGGGUUGACUGCUCGAGGUGCCCGGUGACGGUGCACCCAGAUGGAUGGUCGCCUCCCGGUGCGAACCGGGAACAGGAUCCGGCUUACAGACCGGCUCGUCAC